ensembl:snoRNA SNORA56 small nucleolar RNA, H/ACA box 56
CAGCAGACAGUUAUCCCUUUCUAGUCUGGCUCAUGGGACUCUAGAGGGAGUCAGUCUGCAACAGCAAGUGGUGAGUUCUUCUUCUGUCCAGCGUCAGUAUUUUGAUGGUGGCUUUAGACUUGCCGGAUAGCA